CAUGCAAGUCGAACGAGUUCUGAUUAUUGAAAGGUGCUUGCAUCUUGAUUUAAUUUUGAACGAGUGGCGGACGGGUGAGUAACACGUGGGUAACCUGCCCUUAAGUGGGGGAUAACAUUUGGAAACAGAUGCUAAUACCGCAUAAAUCCAAGAACCGCAUGGUUCUUGGCUGAAAGAUGGCGUAAGCUAUCGCUUUUGGAUGGACCCGCGGCGUAUUAGCUAGUUGGUGAGGUAACGGCUCACCAAGGCAAUGAUACGUAGCCGAACUGAGAGGUUGAUCGGCCACAUUGGGACUGAGACACGGCCCAAACUCCUACGGGAGGCAGCAGUAGGGAAUCUUCCACAAUGGACGCAAGUCUGAUGGAGCAACGCCGCGUGAGUGAAGAAGGCUUUCGGGUCGUAAAACUCUGUUGUUGGAGAAGAAUGGUCGGCAGAGUAACUGUUGUCGGCGUGACGGUAUCCAACCAGAAAGCCACGGCUAACUACGUGCCAGCAGCCGCGGUAAUACGUAGGUGGCAAGCGUUAUCCGGAUUUAUUGGGCGUAAAGCGAGCGCAGGCGGUUUUUUAAGUCUGAUGUGAAAGCCCUCGGCUUAACCGAGGAAGUGCAUCGGAAACUGGGAAACUUGAGUGCAGAAGAGGACAGUGGAACUCCAUGUGUAGCGGUGAAAUGCGUAGAUAUAUGGAAGAACACCAGUGGCGAAGGCGGCUGUC
rnacentral:rRNA from 1 species